CUUAGGCCCAAAUGAAAUAUUAGUUUACCUUUUCUGUGCAAACCUUAUCAGAAGGAGAUCCCAAUAAUGGAUUAUGUGACAAAAUAGACCAAAUUUCUAAAAAUUUUAAAUGUUGUCUUGUUCAAUCCACAGAAUAAUUCACACCUGAUAACUAAGUGCAUAACAAACAUAAACCCACUAAUUUAACCAAUCAACCUGAUUUUAAAGUUCAUAAAUUUUUAAAAAGUCAGCAUUGUCAGAGCUCCUUUCUGCCCUUAUUUCCAUGUCACAGGCAGAACACACCAAGUCUACCAGGGGGGCAAAAUCAUGCAGGUAGGGAGAAGGACAUCCCACCUGCUCAUGUAACUAAGCACCUUUUCCUUCUUUCUUACAGAAAGAAAUCAAAGAACUUGGCCAAUAAUUAAGUCAAACUGUUUCAGUGAGUCUUAAUGCGUCCUAAGAGUACGGUGUCAUUCUACAAUUUUAAGCUGAGCACUAACAAAACAGAAAUUCUGCAGCAUUUACAACACUUAGUAAGGUACCUCAAGCACUGCCAUUCCUAAUAAACCAGAAUGUCAACUUAUUAAUAUAUAAUGAACAACAUCAAGUGGGCAAAGGUAAUGAAAAGGGUUGGUAAGUGCAACCCUCCCCUGUAAGAAGGUUCAUAUGACAGCAGCAUUUUAAGUCGCUUGUUUUCCUCCAAAAUAACUUGUAUAUCCAUUUAUUCUCUCCACCAUCAUGCCCACAUUUCUCUGCAAUAGCUUUCAAACUUUGAUCUCUUCAAUACAUUUCUAUCAAUCAACACUCAGGCAUUGUAACUGAAACAAAAGUUUCACAAAACAUUACUUACAUGUGAUAAAAUCUUUUUUUCUUUUCUUUUUUUUUUUUUUUUUUUCCUUUUUUCUAGGGCCGCUCCCUCGGCAUAUGGAGGUUCCCAGGCUAGGGAUCUAAUCAGAGCUGUAGCCACCGGCCUAUGCCACAGCCACAGCAACUCGGGAUCCGAGCCGCGUCUUAAAAUACCUCAAACUCUAACUUACAUUUCUUAGUUACAUGUAACUUUUCAAGUUUCUUUUGUCCUUCCUCACAGACUACAGUGUUUAAAACAACUGAACCGUCCUGACCUUUUUUCUUAUUACCUUGAAUACAAAACGUUACUACAUGAAAGAAUAUUCUGGACACUGUACACUUCAAAACAAUUGGGAAUCUGCACAGGUUUUCAAGAAACCUUUGACUUUCUACCAACUUGGAAAAGCUAUAGUAGUGUUUAUUUUCCAAAGAAUAUGUAUUAGGACACAACUCUCAAGGUAAUAAGAAAUUUUACAUGCUAUUUUGGCUGAGGUUGUCUUUCAUGUUUUAAUGAGAAAGGCAAAUUAUUUGAAUCCAGUACGUUUGCUAGAAGAGACCAAGCCCACGCCUGGCACAGUAUUUGACAGAACAUAGAUGCUGUUUGUGACUUGGAGUUUGAACUCUACUUUUAUAUCCCGGAUUUGAUUCCAUUAAAAAAAAAAAAAAAAGAGUUUUAAUUUCACUCUUUGGUAGUGGCUACACAUGACUAUCGCUGCCUUUUUCCGACCCAGCCUCUGGUUCACCAUUCGCCAAGCUUGGCAGCGGCAAAGUACCAGCCACCUUACCAAAACUGCCUUAAUGUGACACAAGGGAAAACACACAAACCUGCCCCAAGUGAUAAAAUACUCUCAAACGCUGUUUAGAGAAUUUCCUUUUUAAGGAGAAAACAAAACCAACCUUCCCUUUGAACCCAGUUUGCCGACGGCCUGCUCGUCCACAUCCUGCCCAAACCCCCAUCAUCCACCUCAAUAGUCUCCUCCUCCUUCCCCCGCCCCAAAUCCUGCAGGGGGCGCCCCGGACGCCGAGAUGGCCCCCCGGCCGGCGGCCCGUGGCGGGAACCCGGCCUUGACUCGCGACGCCGCACUAAGACUUCCC
ensembl:lncRNA